rnacentral:rRNA from 1 species
UACGUAGGUGGCAAGCGUUGUCCGGAUUUACUGGGCGUAAAGAGCGCGCAGGCGGUCGUUCAAGUCGCGUGUGAAAGCCCCCGGCUCAACUGGGGAGGGUCACGCGAUACUGAUCGACUCGAAGGCAGGAGAGGGUAGUGGAAUUCCCGGUGUAGUGGCGAAAUGCGUAGAUAUCGGGAGGAACACCAGUGGCGAAGGCGACUACCUGGCCUGUUUCUUGACGCUGAGGCGCGAAAGCUAGGGGAGCAAACGGG